GAUAAGGCAGAUACACCAAUAAAAAGCUUUGAAAUUAAAGAUAGUGAAGAAGAGGCAGAUAAUUAUAUGAAAAGCUUUUCAGUUAAAGACAGUAAAGAGGUGGCAGAUACAAAAAAAAGUUUCGUAGUAAAAGAUGGUAAAAGUAGGAUUUAAAAAAUUACUUUUUCAUUUAUAAAUGUUAGCGUUUUAUUUUAAAGUAUCGCUUGUUUUUUAGAGAAGGCAGAGAAACCAAUCCCCUUUGUAGUUAAAGAUAGUGAAGGUAUGUAUUAAAAACUUACCUAUUCAUUUAUAAUUGUUAGCGUUUUAUUUUAAAGUAUCGCUUGUUUUUUAGAGAAGGCAGAGAAACCAAUCCCCUUUGUAGUUGAAGAUAGUGAAGAGAUAGUAAAUAUAAGAAAAAGCUGCAUAGUUGAAGAUGCAGAAGUUUGCUGAAAAUUAUAUAAAUGGAGAAGAAUUGGUGCGUGUCUUUCCACAUGAAGAAGUGAAUGCAUACAGAAAGAGAGUG